rnacentral:lncRNA from 1 species
GGUGGUGUCCUCGGGAGCCAGGAUGAAAACCAGCAUCGUGGACCCAAGAAGUGUGGCCAGAGGGAAGAAACUUGAAGCCACCUGUCUAUAGCAGUGUCUUGGCAGUCAGGAAUAAAUGGACAUACAUUCCAAGGUCAUGAGAAAGUCUUUCUAAAAUAUGGCCCAUGAAAGCAAUGAUACUGUGGUAAGCAAGAGGGAUGGCUUCAGCGGUGAAGGGCACUGGCUGUUCUUGUAGAGGACUAGGGUUCAGUUCCCAGCAUGCACAGGGUGACUCACAACUGUCUGUGGCUUCAGUUCUAGGAGGUCUGAUGACAUCUGGUGGCUUCUGAACACAUAGGGAGCACAAAUGCAAUUAGUAUGUAAAACAGCGGCUCUCCUGGAAAUGACUGCUUGGGGGGGGGCUGAGCUCAGAUGAGAAGAUUUACAACAGAGAAAAGCUGUGUGAAGCCAGUGGAUGUGCAGGAGCCACCAACGUGACAAAAAUCGCUAGGGCCCUAGAGGGCGACUGAGAAUUAGAAACAGGAUUUGAGCCCCAGGUGAUGUUCUGUCUUUGAAGGCGGAGUCUUUAAGCUCAGCAUCUUGUACAAGCUUUCCGCUCUCCCAAAUGCUCCCCAAUAUGUGUUUUCAAUUGGACUUUGAAACUAACACCCUAUGUUUUUGGAGAAAACUUAAGACAUUAUGAA